AGCCAAACCUGCAGUCUUCUGAAAACCUCCUGGAGACUGUGACUGCUGCCUGCUGGCUGCUUCCAGGCAGUCACACAUCUUCCCUUCCCCACCUUGUGUUGUGGGAGGGCUGCUCACCCCUCUCCAGGCUCUCUUGCAGAGAUGCUACAGCACCUGCCUACUCAACCCGUGGUGUUCCCCCGAUGUUUCCAGUCCUGGCUUCUGUGUUGGAAUGGACUUCCUGGCCUUGGGCCCUCAGUUGGGAUAAAGAUGAAGAGUUUCUGGGAAAAGUGCUUAUGGCAGCCAAAGACUUCACAGAUGGACGGCUGCGAAGAGCUGGGCUCCCAAACACCCUAACAAGCUCACAACAAAUUUCUGCUGAGGUUUGGUUUCACCUGCUCGUGCAGACUUCCCACCUUGUAUGUCCCUAGCUGCAGAUGCAGAGCUUCGAAACAAAGUUUGGCCAGCUGUCAGUCACUUCUCUUGGUGCACAACUGGAAGGCACUGGGAUGCUACACUGAAGCUAACAGCAGCUCCCAGCGGCAGGCUGCCUGGCUGUUGUGUACAUGGAUGCUCUCCAGCGCUAAUGUCACCAGACUAUCAAGUCAAAACACGCUGGUGCGCACGUGGCAUCUUUAUUUACCAGUCUGAGCCCAGCCAUUUCCACUGGGGAGGCACCGUGCUGACAGAAGAACUUGUUUUCUGGCAGCUGAUGAGACGAUCCUGCCCACACGUGCCAGUCCUUCUUCCAGAUGUCUGUAAACCAGCUUUUGGGGACACCUGA
rnacentral:lncRNA from 1 species